rnacentral:lncRNA from 1 species
UACAUACUGUUAUGCUAAUGGUACUCGCUGGAGUGAGAUGGUUUUGUUAGCUUUUGUAUGUACAGUGGACCGUUUUAUGUUUUAUAUAUACAUGUUUCAGUUUUAGCAGUUCUGUAUUUUGGUUGUAGUUCCUAUUUGUACUAGGUAUAGCUAUCGCUUCGUGUACACGAAAACUUCCUAUGUAUACGAUGGGUCUGUUGGCAUGCCCGAAAAAACGUGAUAAUCCGGAGCGUGACAAUUAUUUAAAUAAUUUAAUAUUAAUUAGAUUAAUUAAUUAUUUAAAUAUAAUAAUUAGAUUAAUUAAUGCUUUAAAAUUAUUAAUUAGUGUUUAAUUAAUCUUGUUCUUGAUUGUUCUAGGGAUAAAGGUGGAACAACAAUUACAUGCUUCUAUCGGAUUAUAACAGCUUAUUUCAACUACAUAAGAACUACUAUUCCCGGGUACGAGAAAUAGCAUUC